rnacentral:rRNA from 1 species
CCUACGGGAGGCAGCAGUGGGGAAUAUUGGGCAAUGGGCGCAAGCCUGACCCAGCAACGCCGCGUGAAGGAAGAAGGCUCUCGGGUUGUAAACUUCUUUUAUCAGGGACGAAGCAAGUGACGGUACCUGAUGAAUAAGCCACGGCUAACUACGUGCCAGCAGCCGCGGUAAUACGUAGGUGGCAAGCGUUAUCCGGAUUUACUGGGUGUAAAGGGCGUGUAGGCGGGAAAGCAAGUCAGAUGUGAAAACCAUGGGCUCAACCUGUGGCCUGCAUUUGAAACUGUUUUUCGUGAGUACUGGAGAGGCAGACGGAAUUCCUAGUGUCGCGGUGAAAUGCGUAGAUAUUAGGAGGAACAGCAGUGGCGAAGGCGGUCUGCUGGACAGCAACUGACGCUGAGGCGCGAAAGCGUGGGGAGCAAACAGGAUUAGAUACCCGGGUAGUC